rnacentral:rRNA from 1 species
UACGUAGGGUGCAAGCGUUGUCCGGAAUUAUUGGGCGUAAAGAGCUCGUAGGCGGUCUGUCGCGUCGGCUGUGAAAUCCCGAGGCUCAACCUCGGGUCUGCAGUCGAUACGGGCAAACUUGAGUGUUGCAGGGGAGACUGGAAUUCCUGGUGUAGCGGUGAAAUGCGCAGAUAUCAGGAGGAACACCGGUGGCGAAGGCGGGGCUCUGGGCAGCAACUGACGCUGAGGAGCGAAAGCGUGGGGAGCGAACAGG